AAAAAUGGAACCGGGGUUGCGGGAGAAGCCAAACGCGGCGAGUCUUGCUAAAGCCGUCGCCGUAGCAACGCGCGGAGCCGUCUGGGAGAGGCCUCUGGAGCAGGAGGCCCAGUGGCUCUUCUGACCCAAGGCUCCGCCGUCCAGCUUCUAAGUGCCAGAUGAUGGAGGAGCGUGCCAACCUGAUGCACAUGAUGAAACUCAGCAUCAAGGUGUUGCUCCAGUCGGCUCUGAGCCUGGGCCGCAGCCUGGAUGCGGACCAUGCCCCCUUGCAGCAGUUCUUUGUAGUGAUGGAGCACUGCCUCAAACAUGGGCUGAAAGUUAAGAAGAGUUUUAUUGGCCAAAAUAAAUCAUUCUUUGGUCCUUUGGAGCUGGUGGAGAAACUUUGUCCGGAAGCAUCAGAUAUAGCGACUAGUGUCAGAAAUCUUCCAGAAUUAAAGUGAGUGAGAAGUAGUUCUGCCAAUUUGAUGAUUUUUAAAACUCCUCAUAUUUACUCAUUUCUCAAUUCCUUGCUGAUGAAGCCCUUUCUAAUUGGAAAGAGCUCGCUGCUCAUUAUCCACAUGAUCUCUAGCAAGAUUUGACUCUCUCUGAGCCUCAGUUUCCUUUUCUUUAAAAUGGGGACAGUGAUUCCUGCUUGCCACACAGGCCAAAUAGGUUGAAAAGGUGUUGUCAACCAAAGGGCACUCACAGGAGGA
rnacentral:sRNA from 1 species